AGUAGAAUUUUUGGGUUAUAUGGUCACUCUAUAUUUAAGCUUUUGAGGAACUGCCAAGUUUUUUACUAAAGCAACUGCACCAUUUUACAUUCCCAGCAGAAAU
rnacentral:pre_miRNA from 1 species